rnacentral:rRNA from 1 species
UUCUUACUGAAUAUAAUUGUAAGUAACACCUGCUCAAUGACAUUUAAAUAGCCGCGGAAAUUUAACUGUGCUAAGGUAGCAUAAUCAUUAGCCUUUUAAUUGAAGGCCAGUAUGAAUGGUAUAACAUUUCAAUUUCUAUAUUAAUUAAUUUAAUAUAAUUUAAAUUAAGAAUAAAAAUGUUCUUAUAUAAUAAAUAGACGAUAAGACCCUUUUGAACUUAACUUAUGUUUGGCUGGGGCAGCCAUAAAAUAAUAAUCUUUUAUUUUAUUUUUAAAAUUAAUGACCCAUUAAAAUUGAUAUUUUGAACAAGUUACCAUAGGGAUAACAGCGUAAUAUUUUUUUAAAGCUCUUAUUUAAAAAUUAGAUUGCGACCUCGAUGUUGAAUUAGUGUUACUUUACUAGAUGCAAUAAUUUUAAAAGUGAGUCUGUUCGACUUUUAAAACACUACAU